rnacentral:misc_RNA from 1 species
GUGAAUCAUCAAAUUUUUGAACGCAAAUUGCGCUCUCUGGUAUUCCGGAGAGCAUGCCUGUUUGAGGGUCAGUAAAAAUAAAAAUCGGUGUAUUGGCUGCCUUUCGUGGUGACUUGCCGGUUUUGGGUCGCCUUGCCUUCGUUUGAGUGACUUAAAAUUUUUCGUGAUAUUUUUCUUACGUAUUCAAAUGAUUUUACGUACUUUUGCGUUAGCGAAUACUAGGUG